CGGAACGGGUGAGUAAUGCGUGACCAACCUGCCCCAUGCUCCAGAAUAGCUCUUGGAAACGGGUGGUAAUGCUGGAUGCUCCAACUUGACGCAUGUCUUGUUGGGAAAGUGUUUAGUGGCAUGGGAUGGGGUCGCGUCCUAUCAGCUUGUAGGCGGGGUAAUGGCCCACCUAGGCUUCGACGGGUAGCCGGCCUGAGAGGGCGGACGGCCACAUUGGGACUGAGAUACGGCCCAGACUCCUACGGGAGGCAGCAGUC
rnacentral:rRNA from 1 species